GAUUCUGCAGUAAUUCCAUUUAGGUGGAUGUAUUCCAUUGCACUCUCUAUUGCUGAAAUACCAUUGUGCACGCGUUGGAGGCAGUGGGGAAGUUAUAGGUACUUCGAAACGUCUUCUUUGUCCAUUUGGAAGACUAUGAACUUCAGGACUUCGACUUCGAACUCGGGAUGCAGGAGGUUGAUUCUCAGAGUUGCUAAAUGAGCCAUUGCUAUCACUAGAUGAACCAUUAGUUAUAGUAUUAGUGUUAUUUUGUAACUGAUGAUACAUUGCAGAUAAUGCAUUUGAAGAAGGCAUCUCUGUAUCAUGCAAAUUAUACAACAACAACUCUUUUAUAUACCUCCUGAGACCAUACAACCACAACUCCCUUAUAUACCUCCUCAGACCGACUCUCUUUUCAAAAAUAGUGAUAAUAAAAGUGUAUUAUUUAA